CCCUUAGAUGUUCUGGGCCGCACGCGCGCUACACUGAUGCAUUCAACGAGCCUAGCCUUGACCGAGAGGUCCGGGUAAUCUUUGAAACUGCAUCGUGAUGGGGCUAGAUUAUUGCAAUUAUUAAUCUUCAACGAGGAAUGCCUAGUAAGCGUGAUUCAUCAAAUCGCGUUGAUUACGCCCCUGCCCUUUGUACACACCGCCCGUCGCUCCUACCGAUUGAGUGUGUUGGUGAGGAGUUUGGAUUGGCCUCGGAAGGUGGUUCGCCACCGUCCGUAGCUGAGAAGUUCUCCAAACCGCCCCACUUAGAGGAAGGAGAAGUCGUAACA
rnacentral:rRNA from 1 species